rnacentral:rRNA from 1 species
UACAGAGGGUGCGAGCGUUAAUCGGAAUUACUGGGCGUAAAGCGUGCGUAGGCGGCGGGGUAAGUGAGGUGUGAAAUCCCAGGGCUUAACCCUGGAACUGCACUUUAUACUGCCUUGCUCGAGGGCUGGAGAGGAGACUGGAAUUUACGGUGUAGCAGUGAAAAUGCGUAGAGAUCGUAAGGAAGACCAGUGGCGAAGGCGAGUCUCUGGAAAGCUGCUGACGCUGAGGCACGAAGGCCAGGGGGAGCAAACGGG